rnacentral:rRNA from 1 species
UACGAAGGGGGUUAGCGUUGCUCGGAAUCACUGGGCGUAAAGCGUACGUAGGCGGAUUGCUAAGUCAGGGGUGAAAUCCUGGAGCUCAACUCCAGAACUGCCUUUGAUACUGGCGAUCUUGAGUCCGGGAGAGGUGAGUGGAACUGCGAGUGUAGAGGUGAAAUUCGUAGAUAUUCGCAAGAACACCAGUGGCGAAGGCGGCUCACUGGCCCGGAACUGACGCUGAGACGCGAAAGCGUGGGGAGCGAACAGG